AUUGAACGCUGGCGGCAGGCCUAACACAUGCAAGUCGAGCGAGCGGCGGACGGUCGAGUAAUGUAUGGGGACUGCCCGAUAGAGGGGGAUCACUACUGGAAACGGUAGCUAAUACCGCAUACUAUCGGAUAACCCAUAUGGGGUUAGCUAGUAGGUGAGGUAAUGGGUCACCUAGGCGACGAUCCCUAGCUGGUCUGAGAGGAUGGUCAGCCAAACUGUGACUGAGAAACGGCCACGACGCCUACGGAGGCAGCAGUGGGGAAGAUGGCACAAUGGGCGAAAGCUUGAUGCAGCCAUGCCGCGUGUAUGGAGAAGGCCCUAGGGUUGUAAAGUACGUUCAGUCGGGAGGCGUUCCCGACAGAAGAAGCACCGGCUAAAUCCGUGCCAGCAGCCGGGGUAAUAC
rnacentral:rRNA from 1 species